ACCCGCUGAACUUAAGCAUAUCAAUAAGCGGAGGAAAAGAAACCAACAGGGAUUGCCCUAGUAACGGCGAGUGAAGCGGCAACAGCUCAAAUUUGAAAUCUGGCUCUUUUAGAGUCCGAGUUGUAAUUUGCAGAGGGCGCUUUGGCUUUGGCAGCGGUCCAAGUUCCUUGGAACAGGACGUCACAGAGGGUGAGAAUCCCGUACGUGGUCGCUGGCUAUUGCCGUGUAAAGCCCCUUCGACGAGUCGAGUUGUUUGGGAAUGCAGCUCUAAAUGGGAGGUACAUUUCUUCUAAAGCUAAAUAUUGGCCAGAGACCGAUAGCGCACAAGUAGAGUGAUCGAAAGAUGAAAAGCACUUUGGAAAGAGAGUCAAACAGCACGUGAAAUUGUUGAAAGGGAAGCGCUUGCAGCCAGACUUGCUUACAGUUGCUCACCCGGGCUUUUGCCCGGUGCACUCUUCUGUAGGCAGGCCAGCAUCAGUUUGGGCGGUAGGAUAAAGGUCUCUGUCACGUACCUCUCUUCGGGGAGGCCUUAUAGGGGAGACGACAUACUACCAGCCUGGACUGAGGUCCGCGCAUCUGCUAGGAUGCUGGCGUAAUGGCUGU
rnacentral:rRNA from 1 species